rnacentral:rRNA from 1 species
GGACGAACGCUGGCGGCGUGCUUAACACAUGCAAGUCGAACGGUGAAGGCGGAGCUUGCUCUACUGGAUCAGUGGCGAACGGGUGAGUAACACGUGAGUAACCUGCCCCUGACUCUGGGAUAAGCCUUGGAAACGAGGUCUAAUACCGGAUACGAGACGCUCGUGCAUGCGAAGUGUCUGGAAAGAUUUAUCGGUCAGGGAUGGACUCGCGGCCUAUCAGCUUGUUGGUGGGGUAACGGCCCACCAAGGCGACGACGGGUAGCCGGCCUGAGAGGGCGACCGGCCACACUGGGACUGAGACACGGCCCAGACUCCUACGGGAGGCAGCAGUGGGGAAUAUUGCACAAUGGGCGCAAGCCUGAUGCAGCGACGCCGCGUGAGGGAUGAAGGCCUUCGGGUUGUAAACCUCUUUCAGCAGGGAAGAAGCGCAAGUGACGGUACCUGCAGAAGAAGCGCCGGCUAACUACGUGCCAGCAGCCGCGGUAAUACGUAGGGCGCAAGCGUUGUCCGGAAUUAUUGGGCGUAAAGAGCUCGUAGGCGGUUUGUCGCGUCUGCUGUGAAAACUCGAGGCUCAACCUCGGGCUUGCAGUGGGUACGGGCAGACUAGAGUGCGGUAGGGGAGACUGGAAUUCCUGGUGUAGCGGUGGAAUGCGCAGAUAUCAGGAGGAACACCGAUGGCGAAGGCAGGUCUCUGGGCCGCAACUGACGCUGAGGAGCGAAAGCAUGGGGAGCGAACAGGAUUAGAUACCCUGGUAGUCCAUGCCGUAAACGUUGGGCACUAGGUGUGGGGCUCAUUCCACGAGUUCCGUGCCGCAGCAAACG